rnacentral:tRNA from 1 species
AGUAAAAUCAGCUAAUUAAGCUUUCGGGCCCAUGCCCCUAAAAUGUUGGUUAAACCCCUUCUUUUGCUA